rnacentral:rRNA from 1 species
UACGUAGGGGGCAAGCGUUGUUCGGAAUUACUGGGCGUAAAGCGCGUGUAGGUGGUUGUCCAAGUUGGAUGUGAAAGCCUUGAGCUCAACUCAAGAAAUGCAUUCAGGACUGGGCGGCUAGAGGACCGGAGAGGAUAGUGGAAUUCCCAGUGUAGUGGUGAAAUACGUAGAGAUUGGGAAGAACACCAGUGGCGAAGGCGGCUAUCUGGACGGUUUCUGACACUAAGACUCGAAAGCGUGGGGAGCAAACAGG